rnacentral:misc_RNA from 1 species
UAGGCGGCCUUUUAGCCAUUGCAUUGUUGAUUUGAUUUCAAGUGUCCCAUGAGUUAAUAAAAGGUCAGAUCGACGAUGUUAUGGUUAAAUCGACGCGUUGGCGUGUGAGUUGCUAAUUGAAUGUUUGUGUUGGCUGGCUCCCUGUUUGCGCAGCGAACUGUCGGCACUUACGUAUUUCAAUCGGGGCGGAUUUGUGCUUGUCUGAUUUUUGUGUUGCCAACCUAGAUGAUGGAAUUUGUGUGGUCCGGAUGUGUGGGUCGCCCGACACCCUUUGAGGUGCUUGGCGACGUUUUAGGCUACCCCUUUUUACGCCAUGCACUCCCUUUAACGGGUACCAUGGAAAAUUGGCGGUGUUGCUUGUUGCCUCGGAUGCAGAUCAUGAAGCGAGCAUGUUGCCUAUCCUCAUUGCUCUUCAGAGCUCUCGAUUGCUCGGAAAGAAAGACCGUUGCGCUUGGUUUUGGCUGUCGACUUGUCGAUCUAGCUCAUAACUUUGCCGACGUCUUCAAUGAAUGCUACCUGGUUGAUCCUGCCAGUAGUCAUAUGCUUGUCUCAAAGAUUAAGCCAUG